rnacentral:rRNA from 1 species
GUGUCAGCAGCCGCGGUAAUACAGAGGGUGCAAGCGUUAAUCUGAAUUACUGGGCGUAAAGCGAGCGUACGUGGCUUGAUAAGUCAGAUGUGUAAUCCCCGGGCUUAACCUGGGCACUGCAUCUGAUACUGUUGGGCUAGAGUAGGUGAGAGGGAGGUAGAAUUUCGGGUGUAGCGGUGAAAUGCGUAGAGAUCUGAAGGAAUACCGAUUGCGAAGGCAGCCUCCUGGCAUCAUACUGACACUGAGGUGCGAAAGCGUGGGUAGCAAACAGGAUUAGAUACCCUUGUAGUCC